UGAAGAGAUAAAUUGAGGCGCAGCCUCAUUAAGGUUCUCUCUUCCUUGUUGUGCCAGACGGAGAAGGAGCUGCGGCGGCUGAGAAACGCGAAAACCGCGUGUUUGAAGAAUAAAACACGGAAGGAAACUCUGAAUACCCGUUGAGGUCCACAGGUAGGAUAUCAGGACUUCACCGCCUGGCUCAUCGCCGCAGUCUGAGAAAUUUAUGCCCUAGGAAGCUGGAUCCCAACCCUGGUCCUACAGGCCCAGUGUACUGCAGUCAUUAAAUGUUUCUGUUGCCACUUUUAAGUUUAAUGAGCCAUUACUGGUGCAGCUACUCUAGCUGAUUAACAUGCUGGUGAUGUGCUGGAGCAGAGACAUCUGAAACAUGCAGGGAGGUGGACCCUGAGGUCCAGGGCUGGGCUGUGAAAAUGCAACCCCAGGGUAUUAUUACAGUUGGUUACCCUGAUUUGAUUUUUGUCUGACUUCAUCUUAAGCCAUUGGUCCCAUUUCUAUAAAUGAGAAUAAAUUAACCACUCUUAUCUUUAAAUCUGUGGAAACGAAAAAUGUUUUAAAAU